rnacentral:lncRNA from 1 species
GCAGGGUUGCCGAGCCCUCGCAAUCGCGCUUUAUCUGCCCAGGCAAGCCGCGGCAAGAACGCAAGGGGCGCGAAGAUAAACCGACACUUUCCCAACCGCUUCACCACCCCUCAGCGACUUCCGCUUCCGGCGACUCCAUGGGGAAACUGAAGCCCUAGAGGAAAAGAAGACUAAAUGUAUCACCAUCUGACCCACUUCCUGGCCAGCCUGUUCACCUGUCUGCUGUUCUUCAUUGAUGUGCAAUCUAAGACUCAGAGAAGCUGGAGAAUUUUCCUAACGUCACACAGCAAAGGAAUGGAAGACUCAGGACAAGAAUACACGAUCCUCUCCUUCCAACAUGUCACCCAGCAGAACAAGAGAAGGAAUCACAAUUGGUCCAUGACAGUCACGGUCAUCUCAUUCCUCUUGCCAGUGGCAGGUGUAUGUGUGAGUUUGCAGCUCAAUCCUGGCCAAGGGGAUCCAAGGACUGCUGAAGAGGCAUGUCUGCACAUGUCACCUAGAACAUCUCCAGCCAUCAUGUGAUCUCUGGGGGAGGCAUUCCCAAAUCUCUGAGAGAAGCAGACCAGAAAGAUGGAAAGAAAGCACCUGGCUCCAGGAUGAUGACAUUGAGCCGAUGAAUUAACCACCUUUGUGCUGCUCUAACCUUCAGAGUUCACCUUAACAUGAGAAAAUAAAACCCUUAUUGCUUAGCCA